GAUGAACGCUGGCGGCGUGCCUAAUACAUGCAAGUCGAGCGAACAGACGAGAGUGCUUGCACUCUCUGACGUUAGCGGCGGACGGGGGAGUAACACGUGGGUAACCUACCUAUAAGACUGGGAUAACUUCGGGAAACCGGAGCUAAUACCGGAUAAUAUUUAGCUUCGCAUGAAGCAAUAGUGAAAGACGGUUCUGCUGUCACUUAUAGAUGGACCCGCGGUGUAUUAGCUAGUUGGUGAGGUAACGGCUCACCAAGGCAACGAUACAUAGCCGACCUGAGAGGGUGAUCGGCCACACUGGGACUGAGACACGGCCCAGACUCCUACGGGAGGCAGCAGUAGGGAAUCUUCCGCAAAGGACGAAAGUCUGACGGAGCAAUGCCGCGUGAGUGAAGAAGGUUUUCGGAUCGUAAAACUCUGUUGUAAGGGAAGAACAAGUACGUUAGUAACUGAACGUACCUUGACGGUACCUUACCAGAAAGCCACGGCUAACUACGUG
rnacentral:rRNA from 1 species